UGGGGAAUUUUGGACAAUGGGCGAAAGCCUGAUCCAGCAAUGCCGCGUGUGUGAAGAAGGCCUUCGGGUUGUAAAGCACUUUUGUCCGGAAAGAAAUCCUUGGCUCUAAUACAGUCGGGGGAUGACGGUACCGGAAGAAUAAGCACCGGCUAACUACGUGCCAGCAGCCGCGGUAAUACGUAGGGUGCAAGCGUUAAUCGGAAUUACUGGGCGUAAAGCGUGCGCAGGCGGUUUGCUAAGACCGAUGUGAAAUCCCCGGGCUCAACCUGGGAACUGCAUUGGUGACUGGCAGGCUAGAGUAUGGCAGAGGGGGGUAGAAUUCCACGUGUAGCAGUGAAAUGCGUAGAGAUGUGGAGGAAUACCGAUGGCGAAGGCAGCCCCCCUGGGGCCAAUACUGACGCUCAUGCACGAAAGCGUGGGGAGCAAACAGGAUUAGAUACCCUGGUAGUCCACGCCCUAAACGAUGUCAACUAGUUGUUGGGGAUUCAUUUCCUAGUAACGUAGCUAACGCGUGAAGUUGACCGCCUGGGGAGUACGGUCGCAAGAUUAAAACU
rnacentral:rRNA from 1 species